rnacentral:rRNA from 1 species
GGGUUGUGAGGUUAAGCGACUAAGCGUACACGGUGGAUGCCCUGGCAGUCAGAGGCGAUGAAGGACGUGCUAAUCUGCGAUAAGCGUCGGUAAGGUGAUAUGAACCGUUAUAACCGGCGAUUUCCGAAUGGGGAAACCCAGUGUGAUUCGUCACACUAUCAUUAACUGAAUCCAUAGGUUAAUGAGGCGAACCGGGGGAACUGAAACAUCUAAGUACCCCGAGGAAAAGAAAUCAACCGAGAUUCCCCCAGUAGCGGCGAGCGAACGGGGAGCAGCCCAGAGCCUGAAUCAGUGUGUGUGUUAGUGGAAGCGUCUGGAAAGGCGCGCGAUACAGGGUGACAGCCCCGUACACAAAAAUGCACAUGCUGUGAGCUCGAUGAGUAGGGCGGGACACGUGGUAUCCUGUCUGAAUAUGGGGGGACCAUCCUCCAAGGCUAAAUACUCCUGACUGACCGAUAGUGAACCAGUACCGUGAGGGAAAGGCGAAAAGAACCCCGGCGAGGGGAGUGAAAAAGAACCUGAAACCGUGUACGUACAAGCAGUGGGAGCACAGAGCAAUCUGUGUGACUGCGUACCUUUUGUAUAAUGGGUCAGCGACUUAUAUUCUGUAGCAAGGUUAACCGAAUAGGGGAGCCGAAGGGAAACCGAGUCUUAACUGGGCGUUAAGUUGCAGGGUAUAGACCCGAAACCCGGUGAUCUAGCCAUGGGCAGGUUGAAGGUUGGGUAACACUAACUGGAGGACCGAACCGACUAAUGUUGAAAAAUUAGCGGAUGACUUGUGGCUGGGGGUGAAAGGCCAAUCAAACCGGGAGAUAGCUGGUUCUCCCCGAAAGCUAUUUAGGUAGCGCCUCGUGAAUUCAUCUCCGGGGGUAGAGCACUGUUUCGGCAAGGGGGUCAUCCCGACUUACCAACCCGAUGCAAACUGCGAAUACCGGAGAAUGUUAUCACGGGAGACACACGGCGGGUGCUAACGUCCGUCGUGAAGAGGGAAACAACCCAGACCGCCAGCUAAGGUCCCAAAGUCAUGGUUAAGUGGGAAACGAUGUGGGAAGGCCCAGACAGCCAGGAUGUUGGCUUAGAAGCAGCCAUCAUUUAAAGAAAGCGUAAUAGCUCACUGGUCGAGUCGGCCUGCGCGGAAGAUGUAACGGGGCUAAACCAUGCACCGAAGCUGCGGCAGCGACGCUUAUGCGUUGUUGGGUAGGGGAGCGUUCUGUAAGCCUGUGAAGGUGUGCUGUGAGGCAUGCUGGAGGUAUCAGAAGUGCGAAUGCUGACAUAAGUAACGAUAAAGCGGGUGAAAAGCCCGCUCGCCGGAAGACCAAGGGUUCCUGUCCAACGUUAAUCGGGGCAGGGUGAGUCGACCCCUAAGGCGAGGCCGAAAGGCGUAGUCGAUGGGAAACAGGUUAAUAUUCCUGUACUUGGUGUUACUGCGAAGGGGGGACGGAGAAGGCUAUGUUGGCCGGGCGACGGUUGUCCCGGUUUAAGCGUGUAGGCUGGUUUUCCAGGCAAAUCCGGAAAAUCAAGGCUGAGGCGUGAUGACGAGGCACUACGGUGCUGAAGCAACAAAUGCCCUGCUUCCAGGAAAAGCCUCUAAGCAUCAGGUAACAUCAAAUCGUACCCCAAACCGACACAGGUGGUCAGGUAGAGAAUACCAAGGCGCUUGAGAGAACUCGGGUGAAGGAACUAGGCAAAAUGGUGCCGUAACUUCGGGAGAAGGCACGCUGAUAUGUAGGUGAAGUCCCUCGCGGAUGGAGCUGAAAUCAGUCGAAGAUACCAGCUGGCUGCAACUGUUUAUUAAAAACACAGCACUGUGCAAACACGAAAGUGGACGUAUACGGUGUGACGCCUGCCCGGUGCCGGAAGGUUAAUUGAUGGGGUUAGCGCAAGCGAAGCUCUUGAUCGAAGCCCCGGUAAACGGCGGCCGUAACUAUAACGGUCCUAAGGUAGCGAAAUUCCUUGUCGGGUAAGUUCCGACCUGCACGAAUGGCGUAAUGAUGGCCAGGCUGUCUCCACCCGAGACUCAGUGAAAUUGAACUCGCUGUGAAGAUGCAGUGUACCCGCGGCAAGACGGAAAGACCCCGUGAACCUUUACUAUAGCUUGACACUGAACAUUGAGCCUUGAUGUGUAGGAUAGGUGGGAGGCUUUGAAGUGUGGACGCCAGUCUGCAUGGAGCCGACCUUGAAAUACCACCCUUUAAUGUUUGAUGUUCUAACGUUGACCCGUGAUCCGGGUUGCGGACAGUGUCUGGUGGGUAGUUUGACUGGGGCGGUCUCCUCCUAAAGAGUAACGGAGGAGCACGAAGGUUGGCUAAUCCUGGUCGGACAUCAGGAGGUUAGUGCAAUGGCAUAAGCCAGCUUGACUGCGAGCGUGACGGCGCGAGCAGGUGCGAAAGCAGGUCAUAGUGAUCCGGUGGUUCUGAAUGGAAGGGCCAUCGCUCAACGGAUAAAAGGUACUCCGGGGAUAACAGGCUGAUACCGCCCAAGAGUUCAUAUCGACGGCGGUGUUUGGCACCUCGAUGUCGGCUCAUCACAUCCUGGGGCUGAAGUAGGUCCCAAGGGUAUGGCUGUUCGCCAUUUAAAGUGGUACGCGAGCUGGGUUUAGAACGUCGUGAGACAGUUCGGUCCCUAUCUGCCGUGGGCGCUGGAGAACUGAGGGGGGCUGCUCCUAGUACGAGAGGACCGGAGUGGACGCAUCACUGGUGUUCGGGUUGUCAUGCCAAUGGCACUGCCCGGUAGCUAAAUGCGGAAGAGAUAAGUGCUGAAAGCAUCUAAGCACGAAACUUGCCCCGAGAUGAGUUCUCCCUGAC